AAGUGAGUUUUACAUCGCCCGGCACACUAUCAUUCAACUACUGCUUUAGACUGUCUCCUAUUGGUGAUGAUAAUCUACAUAGUUAUUCUGCUGCUUUAGACUGUCUCCUAUUGGUGGUGAUAAUCAGAAGAUAUCUAGACAGCAGAGUGGAACACUGAGCAGAAGAUAUCUAGACAGCAGAGUGGAGCACUGAGCAGAAGAUAUCUAGACAGCAGAGUGGAGCACUGAGCAGAAGAUAUCUAGACAGCAGAGUGGANNNNNNNNNNCUGUCUCAAAAGCCUCGGAUCCGGAUUACGUUCAGCUUGUUAUUUUAUACAGGUGGCGUCUGCUCACACUCCCCUUCCCUUCACACAUCUCUCUUUACCCUCUUCUGAACCAUAACGACGUAGCCCGUCUUUCUUUUAUUUCUGAACCGUUUAAAUAAAUAAACCCUGCUGUGAUGUGAACGAGCGUAUCCACAAUAGUAUAUAUCGAAGGCUAUAAAAAAACAACUUCUCCGUCUGCAGUCGCUCGAUAUGCUGCCUAGAUAGCUGCAUGUAAGUCCCCACAACGGGGCAGAAACACAAUCUGUGUUCCAACUACAAACAGACCAACUGCUAUUUCACUUCUCAAUGAUCACACACACGUAGGCAGACUACCUGUUCCACCUCUGGGGAGCAGAACGUUCUGGCAGACUACCUGUUCCACCUAUGGGCAGCAGAACGUUCUGGCAGACUACCUGUUCCACCUCUGGGGAGCAGAACGUUCUAGGCAGACUACCUGUUCCACCUAUGGGAAGCAGAACAUUUUGGCAGACUACCUGUUCCACCUAUGGGCAGCAGAACAUUCUGGCAGACUAGCAUGUGUAUCAGGACCGGUAGAGUCUGACAACGGGCAAGUGAGUUUUACAUCGCCCGGCACACUAUCAUUCAACUACUGCUUUAGACUGUCUCCUAUUGGUGAUGAUAAUCUACAUAGUUAUUCUGCUGCUUUAGACUGUCUCCUAUUGGUGGUGAUAAUCAGAAGAUAUCUAGACAGCAGAGUGGAACACUGAGCAGAAGAUAUCUAGACAGCAGAGUGGAGCACUGAGCAGAAGAUAUCUAGACAGCAGAGUGGAGCACUGAGCAGAAGAUAUCUAGACAGCAGAGUGGAGCACUGAGCAGAAGAUAU
rnacentral:lncRNA from 13 species